rnacentral:misc_RNA from 1 species
UCUCCGUUGGUGAACCAGCGGAGGGAUCAUUACCGAGUUUUCAACUCCCAAAACCCCCUGUGAACUUAUACCUUACUGUUGCUUCGGCGAAGCGCCCCGGAAGGCGGGACCUCACCCUGCGAAGGGAUGGGCCCCCCGUGGGCGCCCGCCGGAGGUAAACCAAACCCUUGAAUUGCAUGGCCUCUCUGAGUCUUCUGUACUGAAUAAGUCAAAACUUUCAACAACGGAUCUCUUGGUUCUG